AUGCUCUCCUUUCUCAUGGAAAUAAGCCAUCCCUUCCUAACAGAUUGGUCCAAGGCCAGAGACUCUGCAGUUCUUGACACCAACUUAACAAAAUCACCCAGGGAGACCAGGGCAGAGAACAAAGUCGGGAAGCCUGCCUCACCGGAGCCCCCACAACGUCAAGAAGAACAGCAGCUGGCAUUGGCCGGGUCUACCCCACAGGCUGCCACCCUACCUGCCUCUGCUUCUUUGGUGCCCGGACACCCUGACAAGGUCCCUACUGGCAGUGUCCACAACCUACAGGUGAGGAAGCAGGUGUGGUGGUUAAGAACCUGGCUCUAGAGCAGUGGUUCCCAACCCGGAGUGAUUUUUGCCCCCGAGAUAGGGUUGGCAGCUACCAGAUAAAUCCACAGCACACCCAGUUAAAUUUGAACAAGUAACUUUUUCAUAUAAGUAUGUCCUAAAUAUCAAAUGGACAUACUCACACUAAAAAUAAUUCAUUGUUUGCCUAAAAUCCAAACAUAACGGGACCUGUAUUUGAUCAGGCAAUCCUACCCCCAGCAGGUACGUGGUAAUGUCUGGAGACACUUUGGAUUGUCACUACAAGGGACCCCGCUACCGGCAUCUAGAAGGAUGGCCCCCCAGCACGGAGAGUUACCUGGCCCCAGAUGUCAAUAGUGAGAACUGAGAAAUCUUGACCGAGAGCCACAUGCCGGGGGCGGGGGAAUUGAAGUUCUGGAUCUUCCCUGUGGGCCAAGAAGAGGCCGGGGUGGUGGCAGUGGAGACCGAGGCCAGAUCAAGCCUCACUUGGGAAGCUCGCAAACGAGAAGCAGAGAGCCAACCACCCCCGGAAAGAACAGGCCCAUCGUCGUGUGCCUUGGACACGUGUGUCAGACGGUCGCAUUUGUGGGGAGAGGGUGUAAAAUGAUACACGGGGGUCUAAAGAUAAAUAAAUAACUAGAGAAGCCCGAAUUAGCCGUCUGAUGGUUUUAGCAUGGAGAGUGGGUACAGCUUGCUCCAAGCAUCCUGGUUUCCUUGGAUACGUUGGCCGAGCAUUAGCUGUCUCAGGCCAAAAAUAAAAGAUUUUCGAGAAAGAAGCCACAGGACGUUGCCGCCGCUGCUACAGCGUUCGCCUGGGCCCCAGGGAGGGACAAGUGCUGGGUUUCCUCCUAUUGCCACAAAACGCAGUGGGUCUGAGUUCAAAUUUUGACCCGCACCGUCACCCGGCAGGCAUUCUAAGGACCUUAUUUAACUUGCCCAAACCCCAGAGAGGUUGCCACCUCUGCUCACCAAAAGGGAAGAUGCCCCCGCCUCGUGGGGCGGUACGAGGUGCUGGGCACUCGACAGGUGCCGAGCGGGGUCCGACCCCCGGGAGCGCCUUCCUACGCUGCUUGAGGGGCCGGGCACGGCCUGCCGGGGUGUGGCGCGUGGAAACAUGCUCCUAGGCCCGGCUUGGUUGCUGCCGGCCAGCCAAGGAGGCGCCCCCCCCGCACCCCAUCCUCCCAAGCCCACCCGGCUGCAGCUGAGGCACACAGGCCGCUAGACAGGCUGCAGCCUCACCUGCCCGCUUCACACAUUUCUGCCUCCUCCUGGAGGCCCCCCGAGCCUGAGUCUGUAAGCUGGGGCUCAGUCUCUCCCCGGGACCGGUGGGGGGUGCAGGGGGGUGUUGGUGCUGGUCUCACCAGUGCUCCAAUGCUCUGCACACACUCUGGGCUAUUAGGAUAGCAAAAAGGAGGAGUCACAAUUAACAGCCAGCACCUAAGGUAGUGCUCCCAGCCCUGGCCGCCCGUCGGAACCUUCUGGGGGCUCUCACACACACCCAUGUCUGGGCAGCAUCGGGGACCAGUCAGAACCUGAGGCUGGACCCUGAGCAUGUGAUUUUUAAAGCUCCCCAGGUGACUCCAGGGUGCAGUCAGGAUUAAGACCCAUUGUCUAGCCCGGGGGUCAGCCGAUUUUUUCUUAAAGGGUGAGAGAAGAAAUAUUUUGGGUUGGUUGGGCCAUAAGGUCUCUCGCAACUAUUCACCUCUGCUGGAGCAGGAAAGUCACCACAGACGGUAAGUGAAUGAUGAGUUUGUCUGUGUUCCAAUAAAACUUUAUUUGUGGACACAGAACUUGAAUUUCACAUAGUUUUCAUGUGCCAAAGGAUAUUAUUCCUUUUGACAUUUUUCCGACCACUUAAAA
rnacentral:lncRNA from 1 species